rnacentral:rRNA from 1 species
GAUUAUGGCUCAGGAUGAACGCUAGCUACAGGCUUAACACAUGCAAGUCGAGGGGCAGCAGGACGAUAGCUUGCUAUUGUUGCUGGCGACCGGCGCACGGGUGAGUAACGCGUAUCCAACUUCCCCUUAGUAGGGCAUAGCCCGGUGAAAAUCGGAUUAAUACCCUAUGUUGUGUCAUGAGGACAUCUGAAUAACACUAAAGAUUUAUCGCUAAGGGAUGGGGAUGCGUCCGAUUAGGUAGUCGGCGGGGUAACGGCCCACCGAGCCCUCGAUCGGUAGGGGUUCUGAGAGGAAGGUCCCCCACACUGGUACUGAGACACGGACCAGACUCCUACGGGAGGCAGCAGUGAGGAAUAUUGGUCAAUGGGCGCGAGCCUGAACCAGCCAAGUAGCGUGCAGGAUGACGGCCCUAUGGGUUGUAAACUGCUUUUAUACGGGGAUAAAGUGAGGGACGUGUCCCUUAUUGUAGGUACCGUAUGAAUAAGGACCGGCUAAUUCCGUGCCAGCAGCAGC